CUGUUCCUCGUUGCCAUACUAAGCUGUGUCGCAAACCACACAGUCGACCGACCAUGAAUUUCUUCACAGAGCAAACUUUCCUUUUUCUAGCGUCUGUUUUACUUCUUUGUGUUGCUACAGACCUGCAUGCACCUGAAGUCCACACAAAGCUUGGGAGCCUGAGAGGUGAGUAUGUGAGUGUAAAGGGGAAAGAGAUUGGAGUCCAUGCCUACCUGGGUGUCCCAUUUGCUAAGCCGCCUGUAGGCCCUGCUCUGAGACUGGCUGCACCUCAGCCUGUAGAGGGAUGGGAAGGAGUGAGAAACGCCACCCAACAGCCGCCCAUGUGUAUUCAAAAUAAGCAGUUUCUCAAAGACCUGCUUGAUAAACUCGAUGGCAUGCUGGCAGUUCUCCCAGAUGUUUCAGAAGAUUGUCUUUACCUCAACAUUUACAGUCCUGCAACCAGAGCUCACGAUGCCAAACUCCCAGUCAUGGUUUGGAUCCAUGGUGGUGGGUUAACUUGGGGGUCAGCUUCAAUGUAUGAUGGCUCAGCCUUGGCUGCUUACCAGGAUGUGGUUGUAGUUCUAAUCCAGUACCGCUUGGGACUUCUGGGCUUUCUCAGCACAGGAGAUGAGCACAUAUCAGGGAACUUUGGCCUACUGGACCAGGUACAAGCAUUAAGGUGGAUCCAGCAGCACAUUCACAACUUUGGAGGAGACCCAACUUCAGUCACUGUAUUUGGGGAGUCUGCAGGUGGAGUGAGCGUGUCCCUCCUGCUUCUCUCACCAUUGUCUGAUGGCCUGCUCCACCAAGCCAUUGCAGAGAGUGGCACUGCUGCAAUGGAUGCGCUCCUAAUAAAUGAUCCUCUACCAACAACACAGGUCGUGGCAAAUGCAUCUGGAUGUAGCAUUGAAAGCACAGAGAAGAUUGCUGAUUGUAUGAGAAACCUUGAUAUUGAUACUAUUAUGACUCUUGUGCAGGAUGAAAAACUACGGUUUAGAGCAAAUGUUGAUGGACACUUCCUGACAAGACCCGUGGAUGAACUGUUCCAAAAACAUGAACUUCUUACUGUACCGUUCAUGACUGGUGUUAAUAAUGAUGAAGGAGGCUGGUUAUUACUUGAUUUUUAUGCCCCUCCAAACUGGACUGAGGGAAUGGAUCGGGAGCAGGUUGUGAACGUACUGUCCUUCUUCUUCCCUGAUCCCAAACAUGCAAUCAUCAGAGAUCUGAUGGUAGAUGAAUAUAUUGGAACUGGUGAAGAUCGUGUGAAAAAUAGAGAUGGCUUUACUGAGAUGAUUGGAGACAUGAUGUUCAACAUCCCAGCCAUUAAGACUGUAAAUGCUCACAGAGAUGCAGGCGCUCCUGUGUACCUGUAUGAGUACCAGCAUCCUCCCAAAUUCUUGCAAGCAAAAAGGCCGAGCUUUGUUGGGAGUGACCAUGGAGAUGAAAUCUUUACAGUAUUAGGAUUCUGCUUCACUACCACUCAUGUCAAAUUAGCAGAUGCAUGCCUAGAAGAGGAGGAAGAGUUGAGCAGAACCAUGAUGAGCUACUGGGGCAACUUUGCUCGCUCAGGGUCUCCUAAUGGGCACGGCCUUGUCCACUGGCCAAAGUAUGGAGAAGAUGAAAAAUACCUGGCAAUUGAUAUAAAGGAGCAGGUCAUUGGUCAGCACCUGAAGAGGGAUCGCUUUAUCUUCCUGACUCAGACCCUCCCAGAGAAGAUCCAACAGCAUGAAGAAAAGAUGGAUCACAAAGAGCUGUAGAGCAUUCACCUCUCAUCUUUCUCUGUUCCAUCAACAUUUUUUCAUUCCUACAUUAAAGAAUAAGUUCACAUUUAUUCCAAUCUAUAUUUGUUUGACUUAAUUUAUGUAACUGUUCCUCCUGUUUAGAAGAUCCGUUUCUAACAUGCCUUUAAUGUAUGUAAUGGGGGAAAAACAGCACUUUACUUCUUCUGUGCUAAAAUGUAUUUAGAAGUGUAAUAGAAGCUAAUAUGAGGUUUCAGCCCUUCAAAUUAGUCAAAUCAAGUGGAUAUCAUCCAAAGUUACAUAGAUAUAAAAAAAGACUGAAAAUAUCCACAUGAUUUUCAUAAUCUGUAUAGGAACGAGGACUGUGCGUCCAUCACUUCCAUUGACAGCGCAUUAGGAUGUGAUCCUCAAAUGAUCCAUAUAAGCAGGAGGAAUGACUACAGCAACUCAAAACUCUUGUUCAUCUGACUUGUUUUAAGAUGGACUAAAACAUUGUGAACCUGUCCUUUAAUGGCAAACUCCAGGAGAGACCAUUUUGCACUCUCCCCAAUAUACAAACUGUCAAUACACAGAGACAUAGCUUGACAAGUGCUCAGGUUUAAACAAGCUGGUAGAUUUGCAUACCAGUCACAGCUUUUCACAUUCACAACAAUGCAGUAGGUUAACUUUAAGACAUGGAAUAACCUCAACAAUAAACCAAGGUGUAUCAGUGUUGAAAUAGUUUCCAAAAUGAUUUAAUUUGAAUACAAAAUAUCAAUGUGUCCUGUUAAAUUUGUUUCCGUGCAAAAGUUUGGGUUUCACCCAUGACUCGACAAAAGCAACAACUCUGAAAAUCUGAAUUGAAAAUGUAAUAUUAAAUCAUGUUUCCUGUUAAAGAGCUGUGAGAAUAUGUGAUGAAAUGGAUGUGUUUCAUCAUAUUUUGAAUAAACGGGAUACAUUAUUAGA